ensembl:snoRNA
UUAAUUUCCAGAAUUAAAAAAAAGAAUCCUCUUUUGCAACCCAGAACUCAUUGAUCAGUAUGAGUUUUGAUAUAUACAAGCAGGAAUAGG